GAGUUUGAUCUUGGCUCAGAUUGAACGCUGGCGGCAUGCCUUACACAUGCAAGUCGAACGGCAGCAUGAUCUAGCUUGCUAGAUUGAUGGCGAGUGGCGAACGGGUGAGUAAUACAUCGGAACGUGCCCUGUAGUGGGGAUAACUAGUCGAAAGAUUAGCUAAUACCGCAUACGACCUGAGGGUGAAAGUGGGGGACCGCAAGGCCUCAUGCUAUAGGAGCGGCCGAUGUCUGAUUAGCUAGUUGGUGGGGUAAAGGCCCACCAAGGCGACGAUCAGUAGCUGGUCUGAGAGGACGAUCAGCCACACUGGGACUGAGACACGGCCCAGACUCCUACGGGAGGCAGCAGUGGGGAAUUUUGGACAAUGGGCGAAAGCCUGAUCAAGCAAUGCCGCGUGUGUGAAG
rnacentral:rRNA from 1 species